rnacentral:rRNA from 1 species
UGCAGUCGAACGAUGAUACCUAGCUUGCUAGGUUGAUUAGUGGCGAACGGGUGAGUAAUGUUUAGGAAUCUACCUUUUAGUGGGGGAUAGCUCGGGGAAACUCGAAUUAAUACCGCAUACGACCUACGGGUGAAAGGGGGCGCGAGCUCUUGCUAGGAGAUGAGCCUAAAUCAGAUUAGCUAGUUGGUGGGGUAAAGGCUUACCAAGGCGACGAUCUGUAACUGGUCUGAGAGGAUGAUCAGUCACACCGGAACUGAGACACGGUCCGGACUCCUACGGGAGGCAGCAGUGGGGAAUAUUGGACAAUGGGGGGAACCCUGAUCCAGCCAUGCCGCGUGUGUGAAGAAGGCCUUUUGGUUGUAAAGCACUUUAAGCAGGGAGGAGAGGCUAAUGGUUAAUACCCAUUAGACGAGACGUUACCUGCAGAAUAAGCACCGGCUAACUCUGUGCCAGCAGCCGCGGUAAUACAGAGGGUGCGAGCGUUAAUCGGAAUUACUGGGCGUAAAGCGAGUGUAGGUGGCUCAUUAAGUCACAUGUGAAAUCCCCGGGCUCAACCUGGGAACUGCAUGUGAUACUGGUGGUGCUAGAAUAUGUGAGAGGGAAGUAGAAUUCCAGGUGUAGCGGUGAAAUGCGUAGAGAUCUGGAGGAAUACCGAUGGCGAAGGCAGCUUCCUGGCAUAAUAUUGACACUGAGAUUCGAAAGCGUGGGUAGCAAACAGGAUUAGAUACCCUGGUAGUCCACGCCGUAAACGAUGUCUACUAGCCGUUGGGGUCCUUGAGACUUUAGUGGCGCAGUUAACGCGAUAAGUAGACCGCCUGGGGAGUACGGCCGCAAGGUUAAAACUCAAAUGAAUUGACGGGGGCCCGCACAAGCGGUGGAGCAUGUGGUUUAAUUCGAUGCAACGCGAAG